rnacentral:rRNA from 1 species
GACGAACGCUGGCGGCGUGCCUAAUACAUGCAAGUAGAACGCUGAGAACUGGUGCUUGCACCGGUUCAAGGAGUUGCGAACGGGUGAGUAACGCGUAGGUAACCUACCUCAUAGCGGGGGAUAACUAUUGGAAACGAUAGCUAAUACCGCAUAAGAGAGACUAACGCAUGUUAGUAAUUUAAAAGGGGCAAUUGCUCCACUAUGAGAUGGACCUGCGUUGUAUUAGCUAGUUGGUGAGGUAAAGGCUCACCAAGGCGACGAUACAUAGCCGACCUGAGAGGGUGAUCGGCCACACUGGGACUGAGACACGGCCCAGACUCCUACGGGAGGCAGCAGUAGGGAAUCUUCGGCAAUGGGGGCAACCCUGACCGAGCAACGCCGCGUGAGUGAAGAAGGUUUUCGGAUCGUAAAGCUCUGUUGUUAGAGAAGAAUGAUGGUGGGAGUGGAAAAUCCACCAAGUGACGGUAACCAACCAGAAAGGGACGGCUAACUACGUGCCAGCAGCCGCGGUAAUACGUAGGUCCCGAGCGUUGUCCGGAUUUAUUGGGCGUAAAGCGAGCGCAGGCGGUUUUUUAAGUCUGAAGUUAAAGGCAUUGGCUCAACCAAUGUACGCUUUGGAAACUGGAGAACUUGAGUGCAGAAGGGGAGAGUGGAAUUCCAUGUGUAGCGGUGAAAUGCGUAGAUAUAUGGAGGAACACCGGUGGCGAAAGCGGCUCUCUGGUCUGUAACUGACGCUGAGGCUCGAAAGCGUGGGGAGCAAACAGG